rnacentral:rRNA from 1 species
CUACGUGCCAGCAGCCGCGGUAAUACGGAAGGUCCAGGCGUUAUCCGGAUUUAUUGGGUUUAAAGGGUGCGUAGGCCGUUUGAUAAGCGUGCUGUGAAAUAUAGUGGCUCAACCUCUAUCGUGCAGCGCGAACUGUCGAACUUGAGUGCGUAGUAGGUAGGCGGAAUUCGUGGUGUAGCGGUGAAAUGCUUAGAUAUGACGAAGAACUCCGAUUGCGAAGGCAGCUGACGGGAGCGCAACUGACGCUUAAGCUCGAAGGUGCGGGUAUCAAACAGGAUUAGAUACCCUGGUAGUCCGCACGGUAAACGAUGAAUACUCGCAGUUCGGCCUUUUAGGUCGAGUUGUCCAGCGAAAGCGUUAAGUAUUCCACCUGGGGAGUACGCCGGCAACGGUGAAACUCAAAGGAAUUGACGGGGGCCCGCACAAGCGGAGGAACAUGUGGUUUAAUUCGAUGAUACGCGAGGAACCUUACCCGGGCU